CCCUUAGAUGUCCUGGGCCGCACGCGCGUUACACUGAUGCAUUCAACGAGCUUAUAACCUUGGCCGAGAGGCCUGGGCAAUCUUUUGAACCUGCAUCGUGAUAGGGAUAGAUUAUUGCAAUUAUUAAUCUUGAACGAGGAAUUCCUAGUAAACGCAGAUCAUCAAUCUGCAUUGAUUACGUCCCUGCCCUUUGUACACACCGCCCGUCGCACCUACCGAUUGAAUGGUCCGGUGAAGCCUCGGGAUUGUGGCGAGUUCCCUUUAUUGGGAGUUUGUCGCGAGAACUUGUCUAAACCUUAUCAUUUAGAGGAAGGUGAAGUCGUAACA
rnacentral:rRNA from 1 species